rnacentral:lncRNA from 1 species
AUGUAAGCCGUUGAGAACUAAUUCAACGAGGGUCAGAGUAUCUGAUAUUGCAAGCUGUUGAAAACUACUUCAACGAAGGUCAGAAUGUCAAACAUUGAAAACCGUUGGUGACAACUCUAGCGUAGCAUUGGGAAUGGUCCAAUGAUAUAAGCCGUUGAAAACUACUUCAACAAAGGUCAACAUGUCUUAUAGUGCAAACAGUUUGCGACAACUUCAGCGUGGCAUCGGGAAAGAUCCGGUGAUGUAAGCCAUUGAAAACUAUUUCAACGAAGGUCAGAAUGUUUGACACUGAAAAUCGUUGGCGAUAACUCUAG